GGUUCAGGAUGAACGCUAGCUACAGGCUUAACACAUGCAAGUCGAGGGGCAGCAUGAAGUUGCUUGCAAACUUGAUGGCGACCGGCGCACGGGUGAGUAACGCGUAUCCAACCUUCCCCAUAGUAGAGGAUAGCCCGGCGAAAGUCGGAUUAAUACUCUAUGUUGUAUUUUGAGGACAUCUGACGAAUACCAAAGAUUGAUCGCUAUGGGAUGGGGAUGCGUCUGAUUAGGUUGUUGGCGGGGUAACGGCCCACCAAGCCGACGAUCAGUAGGGGUUCUGAGAGGAAGGUCCCCCACAUUGGUACUGAGACACGGACCAAACUCCUACGGGAGGCAGCAGUGAGGAAUAUUGGUCAAUGGGCGAGAGCCUGAACCAGCCAAGUAGCGUGCAGGACGACUGCCCUAUGGGUUGUAAACUGCUUUUAUAGGGGAAUAAAGUCCACUACGUGUAGUGGUUUGUAUGUACCCUAUGAAUAAGGACCGGCUAAUUCCGUGCCAGCAGCAGC
rnacentral:rRNA from 1 species